UAGGGAAUAUUGGACAAUGGAGGCAACUCUGAUCCAGCCAUGCCGCGUGAAGGAAUAAGGCCCUAUGGGUUGUAAACUUCUUUUAGACGGGACAAAACCCCUUUACGUGUAAAGGGUUGAUGGUACUGUCAGAAUAAGCAUCGGCUAACUUCGUGCCAGCAGCCGCGGUAAUACGAAGGACCCAAGCGUUGUCCGGAUUUACUGGGUGUAAAGGGUGCGCAGGCGGAUGGGUAAGUCAGGGGUGAAAGUCUGCAGCUUAACUGUAGAAUUGCCUUUGAUACUGCUCAUCUUGAGUGUGGGAGAGGUUGAUGGAAUUCCAGGUGUAGCAGUGAAAUGCGUAGAUAUCUGGAAGAACACCAGUGGCGAAGGCGGUCAACUGGCCCAUAACUGACGCUCAUGCACGAAAGCGUGGGGAGCAAACA
rnacentral:rRNA from 1 species